GUCUCAGCCUCACUCAGCCUUACUUUGUCAAUCUCACAGAGGAAGAUAAGGUAAGGCUGGUGCAGAAAAUUGGUCUGUAAUUAAAGCAGAUCAGAGGAAGAGGAAUUGGCACAUCAAUCCUUCUUCUUCUACUGUCUUGAAGAGCAAGUGCAAAAGAUUUUGCUGAUUGGACUUGGGAGGAGUUCAAUUUGAUUUCUUUUAAUUUAAGAGGAUACACAACUCUUACCAGUAAUGCUUUCUUUUAUUGUCACAAUUUGAUUGGAAGAUGGCAACAAUGAUAGAAAAGGGUUGCAGUGAAGGCAAAGCAUCUCGAGUUUUAUAUGUGUCUGGUGAAGAGGUUAGCUUUUAUUGGGUUUCUUUCCUGCAUCCUGGUAUUGUAGUUUGGGAUAAUAUU